AGUGUUAAGAUGCCACACAGGUGUUUCGUCUUUGGUUGUUCCAACACAGCGAAUUUACGCGAAGGAAUUGCACUGCACAGAAUUCCGUAUGCAAAUGAUAUGCGGCCCGAGGCAAAAAAGCGAAGAAAGACUUGGGUAGAUUUUGUCCGACGGAAACGUGAAAAAUGGGAGCCUUCUGUCCAUUCAGAAGUUUGCUCUAAACAUUUUAAAGAAGAGGAUUUUGUGAAUCGCUACAUUGGCGUCAAUGAAAUGCCUGACGCAGAUAAACCAUUGCUCGUGGCUCCUCGCUUGAAGCAAGACAAUAUAGGCAUAUGUGUGUUUCCUUCAAAAUACUGCGAGACAAGUAGCACGUUAUCCACGAGAGACCGCCGUCGAAUAACUCUUUGUGCUAAACAAACAGAUUAUGAAAAGUGUGGCGCUACAAAAUCUCAUAGUCAAGCAGCAGCAUGUUAAUCAACCGAGAGUUUUGAACAAUGCCCAACAGCAGAGAGUGACCAACACGAUUUAUGAGUUGAGAUGCUUGAACAACAAUCAGCAGAAGAAACUGACAUGGGUGAUAUUGAAGGAAAUGUAAAGACCGCGUGGGUCCAGACAAUGCCAUCAAGUUGUAGCAAUUGCAAUGAAUUAACGAAAAAGUUGAGGCAAAUGAAGGAAAGGAUGCUUUUUUAUAAGGCUCA